rnacentral:rRNA from 1 species
ACGUUAGCGGCGGACGGGUGAGUAACACGUGGGUAACCUACCUAUAAGACUGGGAUAACUCCGGGAAACCGGGGCUAAUACCGGAUAAUACAUGAAACCGCAUGGUUUCAUGAUGAAAGACGGUUUUGCUGUCACUUAUAGAUGGACCCGCGGCGUAUUAGCUAGUUGGUAAGGUAACGGCUUACCAAGGCAACGAUGCGUAGCCGACCUGAGAGGGUGAUCGGCCACACUGGAACUGAGACACGGUCCAG